rnacentral:tRNA from 1 species
UCCUCCGUGGUGUAACGCGUAGCACAACAGACUUUUAAUCUGUUUGGUCAGGGUUCAAAUCCCUGCGGAGGGACCA